rnacentral:rRNA from 1 species
AGCAGUCGCCACGGGAAUACGUAGGGUGCAAGCGUUAAUCGGAAUUACUGGGCGUAAAGCGUGCGCAGGCGGUCCGUUAAGACAGAUGUGAAAUCCCCGGGCUUAACCUGGGAACUGCAUUUGUGACUGGCGGGCUAGAGUAUGGCAGAGGGGGGUAGAAUUCUACGUGUAGCAGUGAAAUGCGUAGAGAUGUGGAGGAAUACCGAUGGCGAAGGCAGCCCCCUGGGCCAAUACUGACGCUCAUGCACGAAAGCGUGGGGAGCAAACAGGAUUAGAUACCCCAGUAGUCCUGUCUCUUAUACC